GUGAAAGGUAUUUCUCAGAGAUGGGCCCAAAGCUGCUUCUGUUUCCUUGUGGCCUCAGGCUGGCUCUAGCUAGUAGGACACCAUGACCCAGAGUAACUAAAGGGAAUUAUUGGCAUCCUCCCACGAGCUCCUACCAGGCCAGUGCCAGAAACACUCAUCUACUCCCUUAUGGAAGAUCACUGAGUCAUGAGAUCUGUGGUUUGUCUGAUUCUCCACUUCCCGAAGCCAGCCAAGGCUAACCGACCUGGGAUUCUGAGAGACUGUCCAGUGUUCUGGGAGGAGGCGGCUGACCAGCUGACUGCAGUGAUGAAGAAAGGAGUGUCCCACAGGACUCUGAUUCAGCAGGGACCUCCAGAGCUUCUGACUCAUGGGGGUGUGCUCCCAAGGGACAUAGGUGUGUCUUCAAGUGCCAAGAAUGAAUGGGAACUGGCUUCUGCACUUGGCCCUGUGAGAACAGCCUAAGCCAAGGGAGGGGAGAUUCUAAAAGAAAUGACUGUAAUUAAAGGUAGAAAAAAGUGGAUGAGUCAAAAAAAUGUAUAAAUAGUGUUUAAUAUUCAACUUAGUACUUAAUUAAAUAUUGUCUUCUAUUAUUUAUAUUCACUACAAGUAUCAAAGCCUUUUCUUCCCAAGUUGACUAUAAACUCUUUGAAGGCAGGGACCAUAGUUUUCUAAACUCCAUUCAACCAAAGCAUACUAAAUACUCUUUGUUAGUGUACCAUCGGCACACAACCCAUUGCCAGAUAUGGAGUCAUCCCCAGUAAUUACUUGCAUUAAACUGAAUUCCCUCUAGCAAGCAACUGUUCGCAAUGAAUGGGUCUAGUGGUCCCAUGGAAGAAAACAAGGAAGCUUGAAGUAGUCCUGCCAUGGAG
rnacentral:lncRNA from 1 species